UACAGAGGUCUCAAGCGUUGUUCGGAUUCAUUGGGCGUAAAGGGUGCGUAGGUGGUGACGCAAGUCUGGUGUGAAAUCUCGGAGCUCAACUCCGAAAUUGCACCGGAUACUGCGUAACUCGAGGACUGUAGAGGAGAUCGGAAUUCACGGUGUAGCAGUGAAAUGCGUAGAUAUCGUGAGGAAGACCAGUUGCGAAGGCGGAUCUCUGGGCAGUUCCUGACACUGAGGCACGAAGGCCAGGGGAGCAAACGGG
rnacentral:rRNA from 1 species